rnacentral:rRNA from 1 species
CCUACGGGAGGCAGCAGUAGGGAAUCUUCCGCAAUGGACGAAAGUCUGACGGAGCAACGCCGCGUGAGUGAAGAAGGUUUUCGGAUCGUAAAACUCUGUUGUCAGGGAAGAACAAGUACGGGAGUAACUGCCCGUACCUUGACGGUACCUGGCCAGAAAGCCACGGCUAACUACGUGCCAGCAGCCGCGGUAAUACGUAGGUGGCAAGCGUUGUCCGGAAUUAUUGGGCGUAAAGCGCGCGCAGGCGGCCUUUUAAGUCUGAUGUGAAAGCCCCCGGCUCAACCGGGGAGGGUCAUUGGAAACUGGAAGGCUUGAGUGCAGAAGAGAAGAGCGGAAUUCCACGUGUAGCGGUGAAAUGCGUAGAGAUGUGGAGGAACACCAGUGGCGAAGGCGGCUCUUUGGUCUGUAACUGACGCUGAGGCGCGAAAGCGUGGGGAGCAAACAGGAUUAGAUACCCUGGUAGUCCACGCCGUAAACGAUGAGUGCUAAGUGUUGGGGGGUUUCCGCCCCGUCAGUGCUGCAGACGUAACGACAUUAAGUACGACGUCCGCCGUCGGGGUAGGUACGGCCGGCCGAACGGCGUGAACGUUACGAAAGUAGUUAAGUUAGUACGGCGUUGAGACGUUGCGACGGACGACGACGAGGGAGGAGG